CGCACGCGAUCAGCAAUGCAGAAGAGCGAAACAAGUUUGCUCCUCCGAACGCGCGCGAUCGUUGCAUGAAAUUCCACAUCAGCAAUACGUCUCGAUAAAAAUCUUAAUGACAAAAUCAUAAAAGCCCCGCCCAUUCAACGCCGUAAAGGCAGAUUCCGUGGCCGAUUUGCUACAGGUCCCCACAAAGAAAAACGGUGUCUCGAAAAGGAGCAACGCAUCUCUGAAGGUUCCGCGCGGAACGGUGCAAUCGAACCUUCGGCAUUGGUCGCCUCGAACCAUCCGCAGGUUCAAUUCUCGCGCCGGCCGACGAUGUCUUAAACCUCAAAAACCGCGCGGCC
rnacentral:misc_RNA from 1 species